CCUACGGGUGGCAGCAGUGGGGAAUAUUGCGCAAUGGGCGAAAGCCUGACGCAGCGACGCCGCGUGAGGGAUGAAGGUUUUCGGAUCGUAAACCUCUGUCAGCAGGGAAGAACGGUAACUGUGCUAAUCAGAAGUGAAUUGAUGGGUCCUGCAAAGGAAGCACAGGCUAACUCCGUGCCAGCAGCCGCGGUAAUACGGAGGGUGCGAGCGUUAAUCGGAAUUACUGGGCGUAAAGCGCGCGUAGGCGGUAUGGCAAGUCAAGGGUGAAAUCCCCGCGCUCAACGUGGGAACUGCCUUUGAAACUGGCAAGCUGGAGUGUGGGAGAGGAUAGUGGAAUUCCGAGUGUAGGAGUGAAAUGCGUAGAUAUCUGGAGGAACAUCAGUGGCGAAGGCGACUAUCUGGCACAUAACUGACGCUGAGGAGCGAAAGCGUGGGUAGCAAACAGGAUUAGAUACCCCUGUAGUC
rnacentral:rRNA from 1 species